UACAGAGGUCUCAAGCGUUGUUCGGAUUCAUUGGGCGUAAAGGGUGCGUAGGUGGCGCCGUAAGUCAGGUGUGAAAUCUCGGGGCUCAACCCCGAAACUGCACUUGAUACUGCGGUGCUCGAGUACUGGAGAGGAGAUUGGAAUUUACGGUGUAGCAGUGAAAUGCGUAGAUAUCGUAAGGAAGACCAGUGGCGAAGGCGAAUCUCUGGACAGUUACUGACACUGAGGCACGAAAGCGUGGGGAGCAAACAGG
rnacentral:rRNA from 1 species